UGAAGGCUUGGAGGCUCCUGCAGCUGGAACAGCUGGACCCAGCUGCGCUGGGGAGUCACACUUGAAUUGCACAUGGCUCAAGAGCCACCCUCUGGUCACUUUGUUCUUUAGCAAACUGCCAAAUAGCUCGAGACCAGAAAUGCGGCACCAAAGCACUUCUAUCCUGUGGGCUGCUCGGGAGACUGACAACACAGAAAGUGCUCUAUACUGAAUGACUGUAAAUUCUGGGAAAACAGGUGGUGAUCUCCUAUAGUUUUCACAAGUUGACGCACAGCAUAUUGCUGUGCAGAUGGAACAAAUAACCAUGUGUUUAUGCUUUGGAUGGGUUUCCAUUGUUUUGAGUGUUCAUCAUACUCCCAUACUACUGGCUGGUCUAUUGAAAAGAUAAGAGGUUAUUUCUGCAGCACAUUACAGAAGAUUUUUCUUAUACACAGUUCUCUGGUUUGAUCUUCAACUUUCAAUCAUCAGAUGAUUGCUCUCUGGAGGAGGUACAACACUGCCCUUCAGUUGCAGUCUCCCUCUAGCAGCUCUCUGGACCCUUUUUUCUUCUGUAAACUCAGCACAUUCAGGUUUCGGUCCAGCUGGCAGUACUACUGGCACAUGAACUCUCAGUCCUCCUAAUGGGCCUGGAGUUGCCUGAAGGAAGAAAGUGCUGCUGUCUGAACAGAUGUAAAAAUUGUCUCCACAAAGAUGGUUUUAAGAAGAUGAAGCUAAUGCUGUCCUAGAAGCUCUCUACAGUCUUACCCAAAAGCUGAUCUAUGGGAUUUCCCGGUUCCUUCAUCCCAAGGAAAGCUGUUGGCUAUCCUUUACCUCCAAAUUUCUCUCUGCCAUGUGGACGAACACAUACAUCUGUUCUGUCUUUUCUUCUUCAGCUUCCUGAAGGCGGAAGGGAGGAGAGCAAGCAGUUUCUCUUGAAUGGACCAGCAGAAAAAGUGUUUACAAUGGGUGAUAGCACUCCGUUCUGCAGGCCUAAAAAAAACCGACUGGUGGGACAGGAUGAGAGGAAUGCUUCUUCUGGAAAGAUCUAAAGAGUUACAGCCGUCUCUAGUGGAGGUUCAUGCUCCUUUCCAGGAGGACUGUGUCCAGCCAAUGUGUCCACAUGCACCAUCCUAACUGUUGCCUGUUGUGGCUUGUGCUGCCCCGUUUUGCUUCAUUUUACAGCAGACCAGGAAGGCGUGGGCAGGAUAGUGUGCAUAUGUUCGGAGUUCCUUAAAUGUAUGGACGGAUUUCAAAAUACGUGGAUUUCGCUGACCCAAGAACCAAACCGACCCCAAGAAAUCUGCAGUCUAAGGAUGUCAGAGCACAGUCUUGCAUCGUCCUCUUUGGGGUGUAUACCAGUCCACAGAGGGCGACUGUGAAAGACUGUGGCCACAAGGCUGGUGCCACUCCUUACGUGAGAAGGAAGGCUUUCGGAACAGUUGACUUACCUCUGGAGAGCUGUAUGUCAGUCCAGUGAAGGAACACAGAAGAAGAAAACGUUAAUACUUUACUCUGGGCUUGUUUAAGGUUAGAUAGGUUUAUUAGCAUUUUUAUAACAAAAUCAAAGUGAAAGUGACAGAAAAAAUGCCCAUUUCAAGACAUUUCACCCAGAACUUCUAGCCAUGCACAUGUUUGUUAGUUUGCAUUCACAUCUCUGAUUGAUCUCAAUAGAUAAAAAUGUACUGCAAAUUUCCUUGACUGAAUCAGGUAAGGUUACUUUUUAGGUGUACUAAUUAGAAACGUGUGUUUAGUGGUAAACAACGCUGGCUUUAUGUUUAUGGAUCUUUACAUCACUUAAGUACUUUUCCUGUCCUUGAAAAUAUUUGUGCUCAAAAGUUCUUUGUAAAAUGAGUCAUAAAAGGCAGCAGUCAAACUGGAGAGGUAUGCAGGUGCUAAAGCUCUUAACAAUAUUUCUUUUAUCGUUUUUUUAAAAAAAAGAGGGAUUUAUUUUACAGUUAAUCCCUAACUCUUUUUUUUUUUUUUUGAGAUGACAUUGAAAAAAUAGUGAUGUGGGAAGAAAACCUGCUUUAAUCAAUUUAUGACUUUUGUUUUUAAACAAGGUAAAUAUUCUUCUAGUAUUCUGUGAAUGUGUCAGAAUAUUUUAACCAUUUGUUCUGCUUGCUAUCUUAGUUUGAAAAUCUUGGGAUAAAAAGUACUUUCCUUUACUGUGUGAGGCUGCCUACUUCUAAGAAAUCCAUGCUGAGGUCCCAUAAGGGCUGUUUCAUAACAAACUUAUAAUUACUUAGUCAAUGAAUUUCUGGUGCAUGAUAUAAUUGAAAGUAUUUUCAUUCUUGAUUUGUUACAGAAACAAGCUUUGAACGAUUUUGUUAAAGACUGAUA